rnacentral:misc_RNA from 1 species
AACGCACAUUGCGCCUGCCAGUACUCUGGCAGGCAUGCCUGUCCGAGCGUCAUUUCAACCCUCAGGCCAUGCCUGGUGUUGGGGUACUACGGCAUCUUGUAGUCCCUGAAAAUCAGUGGCGGGCUCGCUAUAUCUCCGAGCGUAGUAAUUUUUCUCGCCCUGGAACUGUAGCGUGUGCCAGCCGUAAAAGCUGUGUGCUUAGCACGACUUUUGAUGUUUGACCUCGGAUCAGGUAGGAAUACCCGCUGAACUUAA